rnacentral:rRNA from 1 species
UACGAAGGGGGCUAGCGUUGUUCGGAAUUACUGGGCGUAAAGGGCGCGUAGGCGGUACUUCAAGUCAGGCGUGAAAGCCCCGGGCUCAACCUGGGAACCGCGCUUGAGACUGGAGAACUAGAGUUCGGGAGAGGAUGGUGGAAUUCCCAGUGUAGAGGUGAAAUUCGUAGAUAUUGGGAAGAACACCGAUGGCGAAGGCAGCCAUCUGGACCGACACUGACGCUGAGGCGCGAAAGUGUGGGGAGCAAACAGG